UUUUAUUUGAUAAAGCUAUCGACUUAUUUGAUUUUAAAAUUUUAAAAAUUACUUUUCACUGCUUGGUCGGAUCUCCAACACCCUUUGACCCUUAAUGCUCAAGAUGACUUUAGAAUUAAACUAUCAACUAUUAAUCAGUUCAAACGCAUUGUGUUUCAACCUCAUAAAUUUUGUAACUCCUUAUAAGAAUUACCCUGGCCA
rnacentral:lncRNA from 1 species